rnacentral:lncRNA from 1 species
GCCUAGUGGUUAGGGGAGGCGGGGUAGCCUAGUGGUUAGGGGGGGCGGGGUAGCCUAGUGGUUAGAGGGGAGAGGCGGGGUAGCCUAGUGGUUAGGGGAGGAGGGGUAGCCUAGUUGUUAGAGGAGGCAGGUAGCCUAGUGGUUAGGGGUGGUGGGGUAGCCUAGUGGUUAGGGGAGGAGGGGUAGCCUAGUGGUUAGAGGGGAGAGGCGGGGUAGCCUAGUGGUUAGGGGAGGCGGGGUAGCCUAGUGUUUAGGGGAGGGGGGUAGCCUAGUGGUUAGAGGGGGAGGCGGGGUAGCCUGGUUGUUAGAGGAGGCAGGUAGCCUAGUGGUUAGAGGGGAGAGGCGGGGUAGCCUAGUGGUUAGGGGUGGCGGGGUAGCCUAGUGGUUAGAGGGGGGAGGCGGGGUAGCCUAGUGGUUAGAGGAGGCAGGGUAGCCUAGUGGUUAGAGGGGAGAGGCGGGGUAGCCUAGUGGUUAGGGGAGGCGGGGUAGCCUAUUGGUUAGGGGAGGCGGGGUAGCCUAGUGGUUAGGGGAGGCGGGGUAGCCUAGUGGUUAGAGGGGGAGGCGGGGUAGCCUAGUGGUUAGGGGAGGCGGGGUAGCCUAGUGGUUAGAGGGGGGAGGCGGGGUAGCCUAGUGGUUAGGGGAGUCAGGUAGCCUAAUGGUUAGGGGAGGUGGGGUAGCCUAGUGGUUAGAGGGGGGAGGCAGGUAGCCUAGUGGUUAGAGGGGGAGGCAG